rnacentral:rRNA from 1 species
UACGAAGGGGGCUAGCGUUGCUCGGAAUCACUGGGCGUAAAGCGCACGUAGGCGGAUUGUUAAGUCAGGGGUGAAAUCCUGGAGCUCAACUCCAGAACUGCCUUUGAUACUGGCGAUCUCGAGUCCGGGAGAGGUGAGUGGAACUGCGAGUGUAGAGGUGAAAUUCGUAGAUAUUCGCAAGAACACCAGUGGCGAAGGCGGCUCACUGGCUCGGUACUGACGCUGAGGUGCGAAAGCGUGGGGAGCAAACAGG